CGGAUAGGUAGAGAGAUCGCAUGAACUCUCUAUUAAAGGGGCUACGGCCCUGAACAUGGAUGGACCUGCGGUGCAUUAGCUAGUUGGUGAGGUAACGGCCUACCAAGGCGACGAUGCAUAGCCGACCUGAGAGGGCGAACGGCCACAUUGGGACUGAGACACGGCCCAAACUCCUACGGGAGGCAGCAGUAGGGAAUUUUCGUCAAUGGGGGGAACCCUGAACGAGCAAUGCCGCGUGAGUGAAGACGGUCUUCGGACUUGUAAAGCUCUGUUGCGAGAGAAAAACGACACGGAUAGGGAAUGAUCCGUGGGUGAUGGUAUCUCGCCAGAAAGUCACGGCUAACUACGUGCCAGCAGCCGCGGUAAUACGUAGGUGGCGAGCGUUAUCCGGAAUGAUUGGGCGUAAAGGGUGCGUAGGCGGCCCGUUAAGUCUGGAGUCAAAGCCGGCAGCUCAACUGUCGUACGCUUUGGAAACUGGCGGGCUGGAGUGCAGAAGAGGGCGAUGGAACUCCAUGUGUAGCGGUAAAAUGCGUAGAUAUAUGGAAGAACACCAGUGGCGAAGGCGGUCGCCUGGUCUGCAACUGACGCUGAAGCACGAAAGCGUGGGGAGCAAAUAGGAUUAGAUACCCUAGUAGUCCACGCCGUAAACGAUGAGAACUAAGUGUUGGGGGAAUAACUCAGUGCUGCAGUUAACGCAAUAAGUUCUCCGCCUGGGGAGUAUGCACGCAAGUGUGAAACUCAAAGGAAUUGACGGGGGCCCGCACAAGCGGUGGAGUAUGUGGUUUAAUUCGAAGCAACGCGAAGAACCUUACCAGGCCUUGACAUCCCGGGCAAGGGCGUAGAGAUACGCCGGAGGCUAUCCCGGUGACAGGUGGUGCAUGGUGUCGUCAGCUCGUGUCGUGAGAUGUUGGGUUAAGUCCCGCAACGAGCGCAACCCUUGUGAUAUGUUACUACCAGUAAGAUGAGGACUCAUAUCAGACUGCCGGUGACAAACCGGAGGAAGGUGGGGAUGACGUCAAAUCAUCAUGCCCCUUAUGGCCUGGGCUACACACGUACUACAAUGGCGCAUACAAAGAGCAGCGAACCCGUGAGGGCGAGCGAAUCUCGCAAAGUGCGUCUCAGUUCGGAUUGAAGUCUGCAACCCGACUUCAUGAAGUUGGAAUCGCUAGUAAUCGCGAAUCAGCAUGUCGCGGUGAAUACGUUCUCGGGCCUU
rnacentral:rRNA from 1 species